rnacentral:lncRNA from 1 species
AUGGUUGCAACAGUCAGAGCUGUGCUGAUCCGAAGCCAGGAGCCAGGAGCUUCCUCCGGGUCUCCCACGCAGGUGCAGGGCCCCAGCACUUGGUCCAUCUUCCAUUGCUUCCCAGGCCACAGCAGAGAGCGGGAUGGGAAGUGGAGCGGCCGGGGCAGGACCAGCACCCCCGUGGGAUCCUGGCGCUGCAGACAGUGCAGCUUUACCUGCUAUGCCGCUGGCCUCCUGGGCUGUCUUUCGAUACAGUUUAUUAAUUUACAGAACAGACAAGAACUUCAGGAACAACUGAAGCUGGCUUUUAUAAACUCACUCACUGGGAGGCUCAGAGGGCAGGGCAGGCCAGUCCUCUCCCGGCUGAGCUCCCUGGACAGCCAGAACACUGAAAACCACCCCGCUGUUCCCCGCCCACAGCUCUGGGACACUUCCGCUGAGACGUUUGCUCAGAACUCCAGAAACCAAGCACCUGGCUCUGUGUCACCUGUUCCCCUGGAGAACACUGGGGGCCCUGGUGAGGGAGGCCAGGCGCGGGGCAAGACGCACACGCAGCGUUCCGGCUGCAUCCGGAAGUCAGCAGAUGAGCCACUGCCCAGAGACCACCGGACCCCUCCCCGAGACCUGGACCUCAAAUGCAGGGAUCGCUCUGCUCUGCCCCCCCCCCCAGGUUUCUGGAGGGCGAGUCAGCCAGGCCAGCUAGUCCCAAACAAACAGCACAGGCAGGGGUGGGGGGUCCCCAGAACAGACUCCCGCAGCCCGGCGCUCUCCACUGAGUGCGCUAACCUGCCUGGCUCAGCACAAACUACAGCCCACCAGCAAGUCGGCCGGGAACAGGCCUGGGGCCGACGGGCAAGGCAAGGCACCCCUGAGGGGCAUGAUGGGCCAGUGGCCAGGUGGGGUCCUGCACGGCCCCUCCACAGCCAGACGGCGAGGCUGCCAGGACUGCCCACAGGCACGGCACCAGCUCCGUUAGAAGGCGAGUGUGCACCCGGCCACAGCUCAGCCACGCCCAGCUCUGAGCUGUCAAAAGGUCAGCUGCCCGAGCUGCACGGUUGUUACCAUUGUCCAGUGGGUGGGGAGCCAGUCUGGGCGCCGUGGUUUUGUCAAAGCCAGCAGAACACAAGACAAAAGUACAGGGAGGCUGAGUGCCCCGAGCCCACAUGGGCUGGGUCCCUCGGAGACUUAUCGCCAGGGAUCAGGGCGGGUCCACGGAACAGGAACACCCACGGAUGUGAGGUGGCCCGAGACAGAGUACAGUCGAGCUCCCACCCCCAUCACCCCGCCCCACACGAAGCCUGGGCCACUUGCUUUGCCUCUGGCUGCCUGGUUCCAUUUUUUACCUGGAACCUGUCUUCCCUGCUGUGA